rnacentral:rRNA from 1 species
UACAGAGGGUGCUAGCGUUGUUCGGAAUUACUGGGCGUAAAGAGUGUGUAGGCGGUGCUCUAAGUUCGUUGUGAAAUCUCCCGGCUUAACUGGGAGGGUGCGGCGGAAACUGGGGUGCUUGAGCGCGGGAGAGGAAAGCGGAAUUCCUGGUGUAGCGGUGAAAUGCGUAGAUAUCAGGAGGAACACCUGUGGUGUAGACGGCUUUCUGGACCGUAGCUGACGCUGAGACACGAAAGCGUGGGUAGCAAACAGG